rnacentral:rRNA from 1 species
UUGCAGUUAAAAAGCUCGUAGUUGGAUUUCUGGGAGGGUGCCAAUGUCCGCCGACGUGCGUGCGCAGCGGCGCCCUCUCAUCCUUCUGUUAACGUCUCUCGGCAUUCAUUUGCCGGUGGCGGGCUCAGAUAUUUUACCUUGAGAAAAUUAGAGUGUUUCAGGCAGGCUAGGCCGGAAUACAUUAGCAUGGAAUAAUGGAAUAGGACUUCGGUCUCUUUGUUGGUUUGAGGGACUGCAGUAAUGAUUAAUAGGGAUAGUUGGGGGCAUUAGUAUUUAAUUGUCAGAGGUGGAAUUCUCGGAUUUGUUAAAGACUAACUUAUGCGAAAGCAUUUGCCAAGGAUGUUUUCAUUAAUCAAGAACGAAAGUUAGGGGAUCAAAGACGAUCAGAUACCGUCCUAGUCUUAACCAUAAACUAUGCCGACUCGGGAUCGGGGGCGCGAACUAUCCGCCUUCGGCACCGUAUGAUAAAUCAAAGUCUUUGGGUUCUGGGGGGAGUAUGGUCGCAAGUGCUGAAUUCUUAAAGGAAUUGACGGAAUGGGCACCACCAGGCGUGGAGCUUGCGGCUC